rnacentral:tRNA from 2 species
GGAGAGGUGCCGGAGCGGUCGAACGGGGCGGUCUCGAAAACCGUUGAACCAGCGAUGGUUCCGUGGGUUCGAAUCCCACCCUCUCCGCCA